rnacentral:misc_RNA from 1 species
GAUGAAGAACGCAGCGAAAUGCGAUAAGUAAUGCGAAUCGCAGAAUCCGUGAGUCAUCGAAUCUUUGAACGCACAUUGCGCCCUUUGGUAUUCCGAAGGGCAUGCCUGUUCGAGCGUCAUUAUCACCACUCAAGCCCGGCUUGCUGUUGGUGGCAGCGCAGCCGGUCAACCGGCUACGCUCCACCCAAAGAUAAUGACGGCGUCUGCGAGGACUCCUGUACAUUGAGCUUUCGGGCACGUACAUGGCUAGAAGUCCAGGCGCCGGUCGACGUCCUCCGGGACACUUUUUACCAAGGUUGACCUCGGAUCAGGUAGGGAUACCCGCUGAACUUAAGCAUAUCAAUAAGCGGAGGA